rnacentral:lncRNA from 1 species
CGCGAAGGAAGUCGUAUCUCGGUUGCUAGGACAACAUUGGUCAGCUUCGCUAGAACGAUGUGCUAUCCAAAGUAGAUAUCUGGUUUCAUUAAAUUAAAUAAACCUCCUGAUAACUGAACACCCUGGUCAAUUAAAUUGGGAAUGCAGGGACGAUGUAAUGGCUGUUCCUGUGUGGGCUCUUUCCCUCCCGCUGCCUGCCAUCCUCAUGAUCACUGUGGGGCUCUAUAUGAUUUUCCUUGCGGCUGUGCUGUGGUGUCAUCACUGUCUCAAGGCCAAGUGUGAUCCUCGGUGUUCAGAUUGCUGCGCAAGUUUCUCUCCUUGUGAGUACUGUUUAGUGUGUGCCCAGUCAUGUGACUGCCGUGCACCAUCUCUGCAAUCCUGUCUGGACUAUUCCUGCCCCUCCCCUAAUUGUGCGAUGUGGGAUUGUGCCUGUACCUGUCAGCCUCCAGAGUGUGACUCCAUCAACUGCUUCUGCUUUGAGAUCAAGUUUAAGUAGAAGGGUGGAUGGGAAGAAAAAAAUCCUCCUCAUUUUAAAAGAUGCCUUAGAAGCUCCAACUCCAAGUUACACUUAAGUAUGUUUUAAGCUCUAGAGAAAUUGUGAUUCAGUCUUUGCCUGUUCUGUAAAGUUUGCAUAAUUUCUGAGACAUUACCGC